AUCUGAGGCAGUCAGUAAAGCCAAAGCCGGAUGUCAAGAGGUCAAAGGCUUCAUUGGGAAAAGUGCCGGCUCUGCAGUGUCCCCGGAAAUCCCUUCGUCUUAAAGAAGCACAAACCCUUACCCUCAGUGGUGGAUCAACCCAUCAACAAGACACUGAAUCCAGAGAGGCUGAGGCAGAUGUUGCAGAAAAGACCAU